rnacentral:rRNA from 1 species
UCAAGCGAACAAGGGCGCAGGGCGAAUGCCUUGGCACUGGGAGCCGAUGAAAGACGUGAUAAGCUGCGAUAAGCUUCGGGGAGCUGCAAAUAAGCAUUGAUCCGGAGAUUUCUGAAUGAGGAAACUCACCUGGGUUCAUACUCAGGUACGUUAUACUGAACUUAAAAAUAGGUAUAUCGAGGGAACCGCCUGAACUGAAACAUCUAAGUAGGGCGAGGAAGAGACAUCAAACGAGAUUCCGUAAGUAGUGGCGAGCGAACGCGGAAGAGGGCAAACCGGGAGUAGAAAUACUUCCGGGGUACGGACCGCAUUUAGGACUUAAGUUGUUAACCGAACGGCAUGGGAAGGCCGGUCAGAGAGUGUGAGAACCACGUAGGUGAAAACGACAAGAGCUGAGCGAGUUCCAGAGUACGGCCAGACACGUGAAACCUGGUCGGAAUAUGGGGGGACCACCCUCCAACCCUAAAUACUACCCAGUGACCGAUAGCGUAUAGUACUGUGAAGGAAAGGUGAAAAGCACCCCGGGAGGGGAGUGAAAAAGAACCUGAAACCCUGUGCCUACAAGCACCUAGAGCACGUCAAUGUGUGAUAGGGUACUUUUUGUAGAACGGUCCGGCGAGCGAUUGUAUGCAGCAAGGUUAAGGACUUAAGGUCUGGAGCCGAAGCGAAAGCGAGUUUGAAAAGGGCGUUAAGUUGCAUACAAUGGGCCCGAAACCGGGUGACCUACCCAUGGUCAGGUUGAAGUGGAAGUAAAAUUCCAUGGAGGACCGAACCGACCUCCGUUGAAAAGGCGGCGGAUGAACUGUGGGUAGCGGAGAAAUUCCAAUCGAACCCGGAGAUAGCUGGUUCUCCCCGAAAUAGUUUUAGGACUAGCCUCAAGUUAGAUACCUGGAGGUAAAGCACUGAAUAGCCUAGCGGCCGAGAGGUUAGCGAAGCUUAUCAAACUCAGAAUGCCAGAGUAUUGAUGCUUGGGAGUCAGACAGUGUCAGAUAAAUGUCAUUGUCAAAAGGGAAACAGCCCAGAUCUACAGCUAAGGUCCCAAAGUCAGGUUAAGUGGAAAACGAUGUGAAGAUACGCAGACAACCAGGAUGUUGGCUCAGAAGCAGCCACUCAUUCAAAGAGUGCGUAAUAGCUCACUGGUCGAGCGUCUUUGCGCGGAGAAUUUAACGGGGCUAAACCUGACACCGAAGCUUAGGCAAUACAGUAAUGUAUUGGGUAGGGGAGCGUUGUAUACGCGGUGAAACAGUAGCGCAAGCGGCUGUGGAGUGUAUAGAAGUGAGAAUGCCGGAAUGAGUAGCGCGAAUGCAGUGAGAAUCUGCAUGGCCGAAAGCCUCAGGUUUCUGGAGGAAGGUUCGUCCGCUCCAGGUUAGUCGGGAGCUAAGGUGAGGCCUAACGGCGUAGCCGAUGCACAGACGGUAGAGAUUCCGUCACCACCAAAAGAGUUAAGCACAGGGACACAUAUGAAGUCUCAGAGCCGGGUGUUGGUUCCGGUAGAGAUCGAGGGAAAUUAGUACCGAAGUCUGGGAUGGAAGAUGGCGAGAAAAGCUGUGUGUAUUUCUGAGGUGCCCGUACCGCAAACCGACACAGGUAGGUAGGAAGAAGAUUCUAAGGCCAACGGGAGAAGGGUUGUUAAGGAACUCGGCAAAUUGACCCCGUAACUUCGGGAGAAGGGGUGCUCCAGAGAUGGAGCCGCAGAGAAUCGGCCCAAGCAACUGUUUACCAAAAACACAGGUUUGUGCUAAAUCGAAAGAUGACGUAUACGAGCUGACGCCUGCCCGGUGCUGGAAGGUUAAGAGGAGAUGUGCAAGCAUUGAAUCGAAGCCCCAGUGAACGGCGGCCGUAACUAUAACGGUCCUAAGGUAGCGAAAUUCCUUGUCAGGUAAG